rnacentral:rRNA from 1 species
GAGACCUACGGGGGGCAGCAGCCGCGGUAAUACGUAGGGGGCAAGCGUUAUCCGGAUUUACUGGGUGUAAAGGGAGCGUAGACGGCGGUGCAAGUCUGGAGUGAAAGGCAGGGGCCCAACCCCUGGACUGCUCUGGAAACUGUAGUGCUGGAGUGCAGGAGAGGUAAGUGGAAUUCCUAGUGUAGCGGUGAAAUGCGUAGAUAUUAGGAGGAACACCAGUGGCGAAGGCGGCUUACUGGACUGUAACUGACGUUGAGGCUCGAAAGCGUGGGGAGCAAACAGGAUUAGAUACCCCUGUAGUCCAC